rnacentral:rRNA from 1 species
GGGGGAUAACAUUUGGAAACAGAUGCUAAUACCGCAUAAAACCUAACACCGCAUGGUGUAGGGUUGAAAGAUGGUUUCGGCUAUCACUUUAGGAUGGACCCGCGGUGCAUUAGUUAGUUGGUGAGGUAAAGGCUCACCAAGACCGUGAUGCAUAGCCGACCUGAGAGGUAAUCGGCCACACUGGGACUGAGACACGGCCCAGACUCCUACGGGAGGCAGCAGUAGGGAAUCCUCCACAAUGGACGAAAGUCUGAUGGAGCAACGCCGCGUGAGUGAAGAAGGUUUUCGGAUCGUAAAACUCUGUUGUUGGAGAAGAAUGUAUCUGAUAGUAACUGAUCAGGUAGUGACGGUAUCCAACCAGAAAGCCACGGCUAACUACGUG